rnacentral:rRNA from 3 species
CAGCUGGAAGUUUAGUGAACCUUAUCACUUAGAGGAAGGAGAAGUCGUAACAAGGUUUCCGUAGGUGAACCUGCGGAAGGAUCAUUCG